rnacentral:rRNA from 1 species
GAUGAACGCUGGCGGCGUGCCUAAUACAUGCAAGUCGAGCGAACAGACGAGGAGCUUGCUCCUCUGACGUUAGCGGCGGACGGGUGAGUAACACGUGGAUAACCUACCUAUAAGACUGGGAUAACUUCGGGAAACCGGAGCUAAUACCGGAUAAUAUAUUGAACCGCAUGGUUCAAUAGUGAAAGACGGUUUUGCUGUCACUUAUAGAUGGAUCCGCGCCGCAUUAGCUAGUUGGUAAGGUAACGGCUUACCAAGGCAACGAUGCGUAGCCGACCUGAGAGGGUGAUCGGCCACACUGGAACUGAGACACGGUCCAGACACCUACGGGAGGCAGCAGUAGGGAAUCUUCCGCAAUGGGCGAAAGCCUGACGGAGCAACGCCGCGUGAGUGAUGAAGGUCUUCGGAUCGUAAAACUCUGUUAUUAGGGAAGAACAAAUGUGUAAGUAACUAUGCACGUCUUGACGGUACCUAAUCAGAAAGCCACGGCUAACUACGU